UGUAAAUGUUGUUCUCACUCUUUGAUUGUCAGGUUUGCUCUCGGGCUUGUUCAUCCUCUUGAUGUGGGAGUAGCUAACAUUGAAGAUAAGGUGAGUGAGAAGAAUGAAGCAUUACCCAACCACCCACUCUCGUCUUCCAGACGUGAUCAAUGGGGGUCUGGCAUGAUUCAUCAACUACAGCUCUCCAUCUUCCUAAGCUGUCCUUGGCUGUGAUGGUGCUGAUAGAAGAUGUGAACACAACCCUCUCUACAGUUUUUGAUUUCAGGCAGGCUUUGAGAAGAUUCAAUGUUCCUUUGAUUGCAGGGUCGAUGAUAUUUGAUUGAACGUAAGCCUCUUCAAGUUCAAACAAAGAAGAAUCAUCAAAAACUUUCAUUUCUGCACCGGACUUCAUGCCUAUACUUGUUAUUGAGAAGUAGUUCAAAGGAGCAUUACCGAUAUUCUCUGUGGCCAUGACGUUGAAUUCCAUUGAAGCUGCAACAUGAUAUACACCAUUGCAGCCCUUUACGGCCUCAUCAAAGCUCCCUUCAUUCAGCAAAUCAGCUUUGAACAAUCUCAAUCGGUCACAGCUGCUCCAUGAGGGUAAAAGAUGUGCAGCCUUCUCUGAGAAUUUUAGCAUAAGGUGACAUUUUAUCAAACUUAACAUAUACAUGUAAGUAUGGAGAGGUAAUGUAGUGAUGAAUCUCUGAUUCGACACCGGAUUUUGGAUUUCAAGUUGGUGACAAAUUGAUUCAAGUUUUACC